rnacentral:tRNA from 1 species
GGUUGUGGCUCAGAGGUAGAGUGUUUGCCUAGCAUGCAUGAGGCACUGGGUUCCAUCCUCAGCACCA